GCCUCUUUAGCUCAGUCGGUUUAGAGCAGCUGUCUCGUAAACAGCCGGUCUCCGGUUCGAUUCCGGAAAGAGGCUCAA
rnacentral:tRNA from 2 species